UUUCUGAGCAAUAAGGAAAAGGAAGACGGUCUGGGCCAGGAGGACGUUGAUGGAGACAGUGCACUUCUGUCCACCCGCUGACAAAGCAAAGGAGCUAGGAUACCUUUGGCAGGCAGAAAGUAGACCAGCACAGCCAUGGAAGAGAUGAGGACGCAGGGCACGAUGAUGUUGAUGAUGUAGAAGAGCGGCUUGCGCUGGAUGAUGAGGUAGAAGAUCACCUGCUGGUACUGGGUGUCAUCUGGGGUGAAGCGCUCUGAAUUGAUGAUCUUCCGUGCGGGGCGGUGCUUGAUGGCCCAUUCUCCAUUCUCUGCCAUGCAGUGAUGUCACCAUUUUAGUCCCCACGUCCCAGUGGCACCAGGUGGGAGGACGGGGCCGUGGCAACCUUGGGAAGCUGAGCACUGAGGGCUGCUCCAAAGUCCCCCUGGGAGCUACAGGAGGGGAUACUUGCAGCCAUAUGGGGAUGAGUUAUGUGCGGGGCUGGGAGUCCCCCAUCUCCCUGCCACCGGGCAGCCGUGGGGAAGCCGAGCGUGACGCUUUAUUAAGGCGCGUUGUUUUCCCCCGCUGUCUGCGGGAGCGAUAGAUUUUUCCCAAUCAAGAUCUCAGCUUGGGCCGGUAAUGAAAAAAUAAAUCUCGCUGCCCGAAAAGCAUUUUGUUCCUUCAAUAUGCAAUUAAAAUGUGAUGGAAAACGUCA